AAAUGGGUCAUAGUAGUCACUAUAAUAAGUGUGCCUCGAGCCAAUGGGAGCUAUCAGGCUCCUAUAAAAGCGGGUGGGGAAGAAAUAGCAGCUGGUAGGAAGAGAUUGCGGAAGAUCCCAUGCGUGUCCUGAGCUGCAUCUCGGAGCCCUCCCGACCUGCCUGAAACCAGGCUCCGGGCUGAGCCCUUCUUCAAACACUGCUGAUCCCACUGGGGUCAGUGGCUGCGGUGGGAGGGACGGGGUCCGCCUGGAGCCAGCACUCUCUGCCACUCAGCACGGCCCAUAGGGACCAGCAUCGCCUAUUUAAGGCUAAAAAGGUGAAGUUCAGCAGUGCUACCUUAAUUUAUUUUGGAUUAGGAUUCCCAUGGCAUGUGAACUAGAAGAUACUUUGAAGUAGAAGCUUUCUUUCUUUUGAAGUGACAGUCUUUUAUCAAAAUGGUUGGGAAACUCAAACAGAACUUGCUACUGGCAUGUCUGGUGAUCAGUUCGGUGACGGUGUUUUAUUUGGGCCAACACGCCAUGGAGUGUCACCAUCGAAUAGAAGAACGCAGCCAGCCUGUGAGGGUGGAGAGUGUGAGAAGCACAGUAAGAACUGCUUCCAAUGUGAAUGCAAACAAAACCUUUGCUUACAACAAAGACAUGCCUUUAAUAUUUAUUGGAGGAGUCCCUCGAAGUGGCACUACCUUAAUGCGUGCUAUGCUUGAUGCCCAUCCGGAUAUUCGAUGUGGAGAAGAGACAAGGGUGAUCCCAAGAAUUCUGGCAGUUAAGCAGAUGUGGGCUAGGUCAAGCAAAGAGAAGAUCCGACUGGAUGAAGCUGGAGUGACAGAUGAGGUUCUGGACUCAGCCAUGCAAGCGUUUUUGUUGGAAAUCAUUGUGAAACAUGGGGAGCCUGCUCCGUAUUUGUGUAACAAAGAUCCCUUUGCUUUAAAAUCCUUAACUUAUCUUGCCAGAAUUUUCCCCAAUGCCAAAUUUCUUCUGAUGGUACGGGAUGGUCGUGCAUCUGUGCAUUCCAUGAUAUCUAGAAAAGUCACAAUAGCUGGAUUUGACCUUAACAGCUACAGGGACUGCUUGACCAAAUGGAAUCGUGCUAUAGAAACUAUGUAUAACCAGUGUAUGGAGGUUGGUUUUGAAAGGUGUAUGCUCGUGCAUUAUGAACAACUCGUAUUGCAUCCUGAAAGAUGGAUGAGAACUCUCUUAAAGUUUCUUCGCAUCCCAUGGAACCAAGCUGUGCUGCACCAUGAAGAAAUGAUUGGAAAAGCAGGGGGUGUUUCUCUUUCAAAGGUUGAAAGAUCUACUGACCAAGUAAUCAAGCCAGUCAAUGUGGAAGCACUGUCAAAGUGGGUUGGGAAGAUACCUGCUGAUGUUCUGCAAGAUAUGCCUGUGAUUGCACCCAUGCUAGCAAAACUGGGCUACGAUCCGUAUGCCAAUCCACCAAAUUAUGGAAAGCCAGAUCAAAAAGUUGUGGAAAACACAAGGAGGGUCUAUAAAGGUGAAUUUCAGCUCCCUGACUUUCUUAAAGAAGUGCCACAGCCAAAGAAGACAGUAGAAGGGAAGUCUCGUGGCAAGAUAAAAUGAACAUGGAUCAGUGAAGUCGAAUAGCUGUAGUACUGAACCUAUGGAAUAGAAGCUACCAUGGAUGUUCCUUGCACAGCAGAAAAGACGCAGCCUUUGCACUGGAGGUGCUGCCACCAGGACGGUCCCGCUGCCAUCAGGGACACGCGCUGCUCGGGGCCUGCUUUCCUCUCGGUGUUCUCCUCCCUUUCUUUCAUACUGUUUUUGUUCAAGAUGUUGCUGUUGUGGCCCAUGUAAACCUGCUCCACAGAACUCACCAAUGGUAAAGUAGAACCGUGUUACAGUCACACCACUCGGGGGUUUUCGGUUGAGAAGAUUCCAAGCAAUGCUUGUCUCAAGUUGCUAUUGUCUUCAUGACAAACCUUCGGCUUCAGCUGUUUGCUUUCCUGCAUCAAUUUGGUUUUUCAUGUGUGAAGCUUUCAAAAGAGUGGUCUGUGCUUGUCCUAACACGUUUCUGGUGGAACUGUUGUUUUAUUCACGUGUGGAAACUGUUAAAUAUCUUUUAUUUAAAACAAAGGAGUUGAUAAUUCCCUGUACAAUUAUAAUUCAAUGAUCUUUUGUAUUUUAUUUUUCAAAAUAAAUGCUUUAAAUGUGA